AACGAACGCUGGCGGCAUGCCUAACACAUGCAAGUCGAACGAGAUCUUCGGAUCUAGUGGCGCACGGGUGCGUAACGCGUGGGAAUCUGCCCUUGGGUUCGGAAUAACAGUUAGAAAUGACUGCUAAUACCGGAUGAUGACGUAAGUCCAAAGAUUUAUCGCCCAAGGAUGAGCCAGCGCAGGAUUAGGGAGUUGGUGAGGUAAAGGCUCACCAAGCCGACGAUCCUUAGCUGGUCUGAGAGGAUGAUCAGCCACACUGGGACUGAGACACGGCCCAGACUCCUACGGGAGGCAGCAGUGGGGAAUAUUGGACAAUGGGCGAAAGCCUGAUCCAGCAAUGCCGCGUGAGUGAUGAAGGCCUUAGGGUUGUAAAGCUCUUUUACCCGUGAUGAUAAUGACAGUAGCGGGAGAAUAAGCUCCGGCUAACUCCGUGCCAGCCGCCGCAGUAAGAC
rnacentral:rRNA from 1 species